CCCCCCAAGUCUCAAAUAUUGAAGAAUCUCUAACCAGGGACACCAGUCCCUACGAAGACCUUGGGCGAUUUUGAAGUGCGGGCACCUCGAUUCCCCGAAUCUGUAGUGUGGCUGGUAUCGGUGUUCCCCUGGUUUAACUAGCCUGUUUGAUGGGGAAAUUGAGGCAGAGAAGCCAAGACAUGUGCUAAAGGUCAUGCAGGCUAUGAAUGGAGCUGGAAUGUGAACGCAGGCCAUAUGACCCCAGAGCCCAUGUUCUUGAACCCUUAGAAAGACAGCAGCAACACACCUGGUGCAGCAGCUGCUUAGUUGGAGUGGCUGACAAGGUUGGCAGAGGAUCCCGUUCCUCCCGUGGAGUGGCUGCCAUGAUACUGCCUGCACUGAAGCUGCUCCUAUUUCUGAAAUAUGUAUUGUUAUUUUUUUCCCUGCAUGUUGAACAUUAUACUCUUCUGUUCUUUCGCA
rnacentral:lncRNA from 1 species